GAGGGCAGGUACUCUCCACACCCGCACCACGGGACGAAGCUGAUAAUUCCUUUUCUGUAAAUGAAAGUGAAAGGGAUUUAAAGCCAGAUUCACCAAGAAACACGAAUAAGAUUCUGGAAUAAUACAAAGGCAUUUGCAUUGCAAGAGACCUCAGCAAGAAACAUCUGCUCUGGAUCAGCAACAAAAUGGAGGAACCUGCUUCGGAAAUGAGCCCCUCUGUGAAGCGUAAAACAAAGGGGACUGAGAGUGUCCUGAUGGAGAGAGCAGACUCCCCUGUACCCAGCUGUGUUUCCAUGAAGAGUGACGGAUCAAUGGAUAAACUACUCACCUUCAGAGAGGGACCUUUUCCUACAGACCACAGAGACCAAAUGGAUGAAUGCAGAGCAGAUCUACAGGAUAAACCGGGUUCAUCAUCCAUAUUGAAG